UCAUAGUCAGAGGUGGAAUUCUUGGACUUAUGAAAGACGAACAAUUGCGAAAGCAUUUGCCAAGGAUGUUUUCAUUAAUCAAGAACGAAAGUUGUGGGCUCGAAGACGAUCAAAUAUCGUCUUAGUCUCAACCAUAAACGAUGUCGACCAGGGAUCAGCGGAUGUUGCUUUUAGGACUCUGCUAGCACCUUAUGAUAAGUCAAAGUCUUUGGGUUCUGGGGGGAGUAUGGUCGUAAGGCUGAAACUUAAAGGGAUUGAUGGAAGGGCACCAGGUUUAGGCUAAAACCCUAAACCCUAACCCUUAAACCCAAGUCCAGACAUAGUAAGGUUAGACUAGUUAAUUUUGUUCUUGAUUCUAUGGGUGGAGGUGCAUGGUCAUUCUUAGUUGGUGGAGCGAUUUGUCUAGUUAAUUCCGUUAAUGCACGAGACCUCUGCCUACUAUCUAGCUAUGUAGAGGUAACCCUCUAUGGCCACCUUCUUAGAGGGAGUAUGGCCGCCUAGGCCACAGAAGUUUGAGGCAAUAACAAGUCUGUGAUGCCCUUAGAUGUUCUGGGCCACACGUGCGUUACACAGAUGUAUUCAACGAGUCUAUAGCCUUGGUCGACAGGCCCGAGUAAUCUUUGAAAUUUCAUCUUGAUGGGGAUAGGUCAUUGCAAUUGUUGGUCUUCAACGAGGAAUUCCUAGUAAGUGGGAGUCAUCAGCUCGCGUUGACUACGUCCCUUCCCUUUGUACACACCGCCCUUCGCUCAUACCAAUUGAAUGGACCGAUGAAGUGUUCGGAUUGCAGUGACGUGGAUGGUUUGCUGCUGGUGAUGUUGUGAGAUGUCCAUUGAACCUUAUCAGUUAGAGGAAGGAUCAUUGUCGAAGCCUCACAUGCAGUGCGACCCCGUGAAUCUGUUUUACUUAUGCCUUGGCCACGUGCUAGGCACCAAGCGGGGUGAAUGUUGGCUUCCAAUGAGCAAUGUCUCACUGUUGGUUGAAGGAUGCUAGCUGAUCUAAAGCUCGAGACCAAUCAUGCGUACCCUCACCAGCUUUGCGACUCUUUGAUCCAUGGGGGUCUCUUGGACUCCUAAUACGGGAACCUCGGGCCAGGCAGGGCUACCCGCUGAGUUUAAGCAUAUCAAUAAUUGGGGAAAAAGAAACUACCAACAAUUCCCUUAGUAACGACGAGAGAACCGAGAAAAGCCCACCCUGAGCAUCGGUCACCCUCGGUGUCCGAAUUGGAGACUGGAGAAGCAUCCUCAGUGGCGGACCGAGCUCAAAUCCCCUUGAAGAGGGUGCCAGAGACGGUGAGAGCCUCGUCGUGCCCGGACCCUAUCGCACCACGAGGCGUUGUCGGUGAGUCACUAAAAGUGAUAAAAGUUCAACAAAAGUAGAUAGUAGCUAUUACAACCCACUAAAAGCAAAGAGAAAAUUGAAAGUGCGCAUGUCAAGAGGAGCACUUUGGAAAGCUUACUCACAAUAUUAGUUUUGAUGAGGACAACUUGUGAUUAUAAGAGCUUGAAGAUCAUCAACAAAUCAGCGUGCUUAAGUCUCUAGAUUGGUAUUAGACUUAGACUAAUAGUUAGUUUAGGUUGAGUCUAAGGCUUAGGUAAACUCAAUACAUGUCUCAUAUGCAUAAAACUUUAAAUCAUUUUAAGUUUUGAGAUAUGUCAUUUAUAAUAUGUUCAUGCAUCAUAUAAAUACAUGUAAUCUGUGCAUCAUAGGCAUAAACUUAGUGUUGAACAUGUGUAAAUUAAGUGUAUAACGUAUUUGAGUUUUGCAAAUUGAAAUUACGCUUGGAAAUAUGCAGUUAAUCGAUUAAGGCAUGAUUUAAUCGAUUAACAUAAGUUUUUUGAAAAGCUGUUGAAACAGAAAACUUGGAAAAAUAGAAUCAGUUACAUUUUUGAAACACGUUAAUCGAUUAACCAAGGCCUUAAUCGAUUAACUGGGCUGCAAAAUUGAUUCUUUAUAAACUGCAUUUUCAGAACUUAAGCCAUAACUUUAAGAGAGUUAGAGCUUAUUUCGUGUUAAUUGUUGCAUCUAUAUGACAUUGCAUUUGUGAGAUUAGAAAAGAGAGAAUUCUAUGCUUUAGGAUUGAGAGGCAUUUCAUGUUUAAUUUCUCAUCAUUUCAUCUCACAUGUUCAUGCAUUCAUUGAUGUUUUUGUGAAGAUUUUGUAUUCUGUAAAAUCUGUUUUCCAACUAAUGCAUUAUCAUGUUAUAUGAGACUUGUAUUAGAGUUUUAGAGUAAAGGUCUUAAUUGUUAAAUUUUAGCAUUGUAAUUGCUUUAGAUUACUCUAUGUUUUUCUUGUGAAAAGUGUUAUAACUUUGGGAAUCUCAAGGUGUCUNNNNNNNNNNNNNNNNNNNNNNNNNNNNNNNNNNNNNNNNNNNNNNNNNNNNNNNNNNNNNNNNNNNNNNNNNNNNNNNNNNNNNNNNNNNNNNNNNNNNUUCCCUCUCUCUCUUUAUUGCUUUAAUCGAUUACUUUGUAUAGUUGUUUUAAUUGCAAUAUUCUGUUUCUAUACUAUACUGUUGUAACUCUGAUAUAUCUGUUAACUCUGUAUAUUAGUUUCAAGCUCAGUUGAUUGUCGUGCAAGAAACCGAAUAUGUUUGUGUAAUAUGAGCUAUUUUAAUCGAUUAAAUUGAUUACGUUAAUCGAUUAUUUCUAUUCUCUUAAUCGAUUAAUCUAGAGUUAAUUCAGCAUUACUUAUUGUUUUCGGAAAAGCGGAUACUCUAACCGCUACACCUAUUCAACCCCCCUUCUAGGUGUAUUUUAGCCACUGNNNNNNNNNNNNNNNNNNNNNNNNNNNNNNNNNNNNNNNNNNNNNNNNNNNNNNNNNNNNNNNNNNNNNNNNNNNNNNNNNNNNNNNNNNNNNNNNNNNNUGCAAAAGAAAUGUGGGACACUUUACAAGUGACUCACGAAGGCAUCAGUGAAGUCAAGCGCGCUAGAUUAAAUGCGCUGACCCACGAGUAUGAGUUAUUUCGCAUGUUACCUAGCGAAUCAAUCAGUGAUAUGCAAAAGCGAUUUACUCAUAUCGUGAAUCAUUUAGUUGCUCCAGAUAAAUCUUUUGCCAAAGGAGAAUUAACUAAUAAAUUUUUACUUUGUCUUGACAGGAAAUGGCAACCGAAAGUGACUGCAAUUAUGGAAUCCAAAGACUUGGACUCUAUGCCUCUAGCUACAUUGUUUGGAAAGCUUCAAGAGCACAAAAUGGAAUUGGGUUGCUUGACGAUGCAUGAGGAUGAGGACCGGAAGAAGAAGAGCAUCACAUUGAAGGCUACGACCUCCAAAACAAAAGAAGAUAAAGAUGAUGAUGAAUCUGACUCCGAUCUGGAUGAUGAAACNNNNNNNNNNNNNNNNNNNNNNNNNNNNNNNNNNNNNNNNNNNNNNNNNNNNNNNNNNNNNNNNNNNNNNNNNNNNNNNNNNNNNNNNNNNNNNNNNNNNCUUAUGUCGAGUUACAUGAGGAACUAAAGAAAUUGGCUAGGAUAAACGUUGAUAGAAAAAGGGUAAUCCUCAUAAAUGAACAAAAAAUAAGCAAACUAAAAAAAGAAUUAGAUGAAUUGAAAUUAGAAAAUGAAACGUUAGACCUCAUCUAUUCUUGUAGCACAUGUAACUGCUCUGAAAAUAAUUUAUGUCAAAAACCUGUCUGUGAGACUUGCGAGACUUUACAAAAAGAAAAUGUUAAACUUGAAGAAAAACUCACACGUCUCACAAACAGUCAACAAAAAUUAGACACUAUGUUAAGUCAAACAAGAAACGUUGGUGAUCUUACAGGACUAGGUUAUACUGGCCCAACUAGGAACAAAAGACCAUAUAGAAAACCUAUAGCUCGUCCUAAAAAUAAAUAUCACAAGCACACACCAACAUGUUUUUACUACAAUACAUAUGGUCAUACCUCAUAUUCAUGUUACAUAAACUUAAAGAAAAACUCACACGUCUCACAAACAGUCAACAACAUUUAGACACUAUGCUAAGUCGAACAAGAAACGUUGGUGAUCAUACAGGACUAGGUUAUACUCGCCCUACUAGGAACAAAAGAACAUAUAGAAAACCUAUAGCUCGUGCUAAAAAUAAAUAUCACAAGCACACACCUACAUGUUUUUACUGCAAUACAUAUGGUCAUACUUCAUAUUCAUGUUACAUCAGAAAGUAUGGUAUACCUUGUGGCGUUUAUAUGUGGAUAAAGAAGGGAGAUGACUCCCCGUUUACUAACAGAAAAGGACCCAAUAUCAAUUGGGUACCUGAGAAAAGCAAGUGAUCUUUUUGCAGGUAUGUCUUCGAACACAAGGGCAGAAAUGGUACCUAGACAGUGGGUGUUCGAGACAUAUGACAGGUGACAGAUCAAAUUUCCUGGAUCUUUCACUUAAAGGUAAAGGGUACGUCACGUACGGAGACAACAACAAGGGAAAGAUUCUUGGCACCGGAAUAGUUGGUAACUCAUCUUAGACUCUUAUUGAAAAUGUUCUUUAUGUUGAAGGAUUAGAACAUAAUCUCUUGAGCAUAAGCCAACUCUGUGACAAAAGUAACCGUGUAUCUUUCGGUUCUGAUUGUUGUAUUAUUCGUGACAUUUUAUCUAAUAAUGUUAAAUUUGUUGGUCAUCGUAUAAAUAAUAUUUACAUGGUUAAUUUGGAUGAUGUCACUACUCUAUUUUCAAAAUGUUUUAUUUCAAAAGAAGAUGACAUUUGGCUUUGGCAUAGACGCGUUGCACAUAUCCAUGUAAAACAUCUAGAUAAAUUAUCAUCAAAUGAACUAGUUGAGGGGCUACCAAAGCUAAAUUUUAAAACUAAAGAAAUUUGUGACACUUGCCAAAAGUGUAAACAAACCAAAAACUCCUUUAAAAAGAAAAAUGUGAUUUCCACUUCAAGGCCCUUGGAAUUACUCCAUAUGGACUUGUUUGGACCAUCACAAAUCAUGAGUUUUGGCGGUAGCUACUAUGCCCUAAUUAUUGUUGAUGAUUUCUCCCGAUUUACAUGGACAUUAUUUUUAUCUUCAAAAAGCGAUGCGUUCAAAUCUUUUAAAAAUCUUGUCCAGCAAAUCCAAAACCAACUUAACCUGAAAAUAGUAUAUAUACGCAGUGAUCGCGGAGGAGAAUUUGAGAACUUUUAGUUUGAUAAAUUAUGGGAUGAGCAUGGCAUUUUACAUCAAUUCUUUGCUCCUCGCACUCCACAACAAAAUGGGGUUGUUGAGAGGAAGGAUUGUGUUUUAGAAGAACUAGCCAGAACCAUGCUUAACGAAAGUAAUAUCCCCAAAUACUUCNNNNNNNNNNNNNNNNNNNNNNNNNNNNNNNNNNNNNNNNNNNNNNNNNNNNNNNNNNNNNNNNNNNNNNNNNNNNNNNNNNNNNNNNNNNNNNNNNNNNCGAUGAAAGAAUAUUUUUGGGGUACUCGAUGCAUAACAAAGCCUUUAGAUUCUUCAAUAAAUAUGUAAUGCAAGUAGAAGAGUCUAUCCAUGUACAAUUUGACGAAUGUUCUCCAAAAGAGAAGAGAAAGGUCGUGUCUGAUGAUGUUGCAGGUGCUUUAGAGGAAGCAACGCUAUUUAUUCGUAAAUCAGAAAACCAUGUAUCACUUGUGCAAAUCUAUGUUGAUGACAUAAUAUUUGGAUCUACUAAUGAUAUUCUCUGUAGAGAGUUUUCAGAGAUGAUGCAGGGAGAGUUCGAAAUGUCUAUGAUGGGAGAACUCACAUUCUUUCUGGGACUUCAAAUAAAGCAGCUAGAAAGUGGGAUAUUCAUUCAUCAGGCAAUGUAUUGCAAAGAGCUACUUCAAAAAUUUCAUAUGGAUAAAUGUAAGGAAGCCUCCACUCCUAUGGCAUCUGCUUGCUACCUAGAUAAGGACGAAAAAGGAAAAGCAAUAGAGGUAACAAAGUAUCGUGGUAUAAUUGGGUCAUUACUUUACUUAACUGCAAGUCCACCUGAUGUCAUGUUUAGUGUAUGCAUGUGUGCAAGAUUUCAGUCUUUACCUAAGGAAUCACAUUAUGUAACUGUUAAAAGAAUCAUGAGAUAUUUAAAAGGAACAACUAACGGAUUAUGGUAUCCUCGGGACGCCUCACUAUCCUUGGUAGGAUAUUCCGAUUCCGAUUUCGCUGGAUGUAAAUUGGAUCGGAAAAGCACUAGUGGUACUUGUCACUUGUUGGGCAGUUCAUUAGUUGCAUGGCACAGUAAAAAGCAAGCCUGUGUUGCUUUGUCCACCGCCGAAGCGAAAUAUAUUGUCGUCGGUGUGUGUUGCGCUCAAAUCCUUUGGAUGAAGCAGCAACUUAAGGACUUUGGUCUUAAACUAGAAAAGAUCUCCAUUAAAUGCGAUAAUAUAAGUGCCAUAAACCUAUCUAAGAAUCCAGUUUUGCAUUCUAGAACCAAGCAUAUAGAAAUUAGACAUCAUUUCUUACGUGAACAUGUACAAAAAGGUGACUACGUUCUUGAAUUUGUUGAAAACUCUAAACAGUUAGCAGAUAUCUUCACCAAGCCCCUUCCACGGGAUACUUUCUAUGUUCUAAGGAGAGAACUUGGAAUUCUUGAUGAACGAUAUCUUAUUUAAAAAUGUUUAGUUGUUUGGUUUAUGUCUUGCCUCUAUAUGUUUAUCAAUCUCUUGAUUUAAAUAAAAUUUGUUGAAAUGCAAAAUGAUAUCUCAUGAUAACUUCUUUUCGUGAUUNNNNNNNNNNNNNNNNNNNNNNNNNNNNNNNNNNNNNNNNNNNNNNNNNNNNNNNNNNNNNNNNNNNNNNNNNNNNNNNNNNNNNNNNNNNNNNNNNNNNGUGUUAAUCGAUUACCUGGGCACCAUUUUCUGAAAAAUCAAUUUUUACAUGAUUUUAAUCGAUUAACCAGGCCCGUUAAUCGAUUAAAACCAGCAGUUUAAGUGCAUACAACACCUCGGUUUCACGCUUUUUCGGCAUUUUUGUCCAUCUCUUCUUGCUUUUGAGUCUCUGAAAUUGUAACUCAACUGACCCAAGUGCAUUAAGCUAGAUAAACCUCACCCUAACCCCCUAGAAAUCUCAAAUUUCAUCCAUAUUCCACUACAUUUCCAUUUUUCCGAAAUCAAAACCCUAGGUUAGGUUUGCCUCAAUUCCUCACUAUUUGGUCCAACAUCAAUUUGGGUUCUACAUAAAGAUGGAGCAAGGUCGCGCAAAAAGGUUCAAAAACCCUGCCAAUCGUCCUCCACUCGGGACCGUGGUGACCUAUUUUGCUCGCUCAUAUUUCAAGAGACCCGUUUGGCAAAGUUCCAAGGACGCAAACCCACUUAUGUAAGGUAUUUCGAUUUAACCUGGAUGGCAUAACAAAAUUUCAGUUUUCCGCAUGAUAUGGAGGCUCAGGGAGCCGUUAAAUUUCUGGAAUUAAAGGGACAAGUUUACACUACUCUAGUUAGGGAAUUUUAUGCAAAUUUCAGAUAUAAGGAUGGGAAAUACUGGUCUAUGAUUUCUAGUAAGUUUGUUUGAGAUUAGUGAUGAACUGUUUAUGAAUGUCGGUCGAUUAUCAUCUUCGGGUUAUGGAAUAGGAGAUUGCUCAUGGGUUAAGGAUAACUUUGAUUCUACUGAGGUGUAUAAGUCAUUUCUUAGAGGACCUCAUUUGUAUAUUCCGGGUCAACUGACCAAGGCUGGGUCUUUAUCUGUUGAGAACAGGCUGCUUCAUUAUGUCAUUGCCUAUAUUAUGGUGCAGAGGAACACAAAUCAUGCACAUCCUACUGUGAAUGAUUUGCGUUUCAUGUACGCUGUUAAGAAUAAUGUGAUGAUUAACUGGCCUGAGGAAAUAUUGAAGAUUAUGAACAGUGUGUCUUUGUCUCAGUCAAAGGUGGAUUAUUUGCAUAUUGAUGUUUCUGACACCAUCAUUGUUGAGUAUACUGAUAAGGAUCAUCUGGUUGGUGAAAGUCUGAUUCAUAAAAUGGGCAUAUACAAGUACGACACUACUUAGCAAUACCAGGAGGACUACACUACUAUUGAUCUGGAGCUGUCCAGUGAUGAUGAUUAGGGUGGCAUGGGUGAUCAGAAUGCUACAAAUCAGGAGGAGCCCUCUAGGACAACAUCACAGGAUAUUGUUUUCGGUUUGGCUCAGAUGGAAGCUAUGGAGUAAAGGCUCAACAACUGCAUGGAUCUUCACUUUCAAGGGUUGAAGGAGUUAUACUUUGCAGGUAUGGAACAGUAUGAAGAGCGUCAAACCGCUUAUUCAUACAACCAAUAUCAAUUUGUAAGGAAUCUGAUUCAAUCAACAGCCGAAGCUCAGAAUGCCUUCAUUCGAUCUACAGCUGAAGCUCAAAAUGCAUUGUUUUGUUCUAAAUUUCAGAAGUUGUCUAUGCUGAUCANNNNNNNNNNNNNNNNNNNNNNNNNNNNNNNNNNNNNNNNNNNNNNNNNNNNNNNNNNNNNNNNNNNNNNNNNNNNNNNNNNNNNNNNNNNNNNNNNNNNCUUUGUUUUAUGUUUAACUACAUAUCUCUGCCUACUUUUGACCUGGGUUAUCUUUUUGAUAAUGUCAAAAGGGGGAGAAAGGUUGUUUUGUUGUUGUUUGAUUGUGCAGGUUGAUCGUAAUAACUGCUUCUGAAAUAUUAGCGCAUCCUAUCAAUCAGUGCCAAUACAAUCUUCAAGCUAAUUCAUCAAACAAUUGGUGUAGUAUUUUGUCAUUAUCAAAAAGGGGGAGAUUGAAAGUGCGCAUGUCAAGAGGAGCAUCGGUCACCCUCGGUGUCCGAAUUGGAGACUAGAGAAGCAUCCUCAACGACGGACGGGGCUCAAAUCCCCUAGAAGAGGGUGCCAGAGAGGGUGAGAGCCUCGUCGUGCCCGGACCCUAUCGCACCACGAGGUGCUGUCGGUGAGUCACUAAAAGUGAUAAAAGUUUAGCAAAAGUAGAUAGUAACUAUUACAACCCACUAAAAGCAAAGAGAAAAUUGAAAGUGCGCAUGUCAAGAGGAGCACUUAAAGCUUUCUCACUAUGUGUUUAGUUUUGAUGAGGACAACUUGUGAUUAUGAAAGCUUGAAGAUCAUCAACAAAUCAGCAUGCUUAAGUCUCUAGAUUGGUAUUAGACUUAGACUUGUAAUUAGUUUAGGUUGAGUCUAAGGCUUAGGUAAACUCUAUACAUGUCUCAUAUGCAUAAAACUUUAAAUCAUUUUAAGUUUUGAGAUAUGUCAUUUAUAAUAUGUUCAUGCAUCACAUAAAUACAUGUAAUCUGUGCAUGCUAGGCAUAAACUUAGUGUUGAACAUGUGUAAAUUAAGUGCAUAACGUAUUUGAGUUUUGCAAAUUGAAAUUACACUUGGAAAAAUGCAGUUAAUCGAUUAAGGCAUGAUUUAAUCGAUUAACAUAACUUUUUUGAAAAGCUGUUGAAACAGAGAACUUGGAAAAACAGAAUCNNNNNNNNNNNNNNNNNNNNNNNNNNNNNNNNNNNNNNNNNNNNNNNNNNNNNNNNNNNNNNNNNNNNNNNNNNNNNNNNNNNNNNNNNNNNNNNNNNNNUGAAGUCAUAACUUGCAUGUUGCAUUUUUUAGAGAGUUAGAGCAUAUUUCGUGUUAAUUGUUGCAUCUAUAUGACAUUGCAUUUGUGAGAUUAGAAAAGAGAGAAUUCUAUGCUUUAGGAUUGAGAAGCAUUUCAUGUUUAAUUUCUCACUAUUUCACCUCACAUGUUCAUGCAUUCAUUGAUGUUUUUGUGAAGAUUUUGUCUUCUGUAAAAUCUGUUUUUCAACUAAUGCAUUAUCAAGUUAUAUCAGACUUGUGUUAGAGUUUUAGAGUAAGGUCUUAAUUGUUAAAUUUGAGCAUUGUAAUUGCUUUAGAUUACUCUAUGUUUUUGUUGUAAAAAGUGUUGUAACUUUGGGAAUCUCAAGGUGUCUUACCACCAACGAGAUUAUGUUGUAUCUUCAUUAGCUUAGAGUUCUUGAUAGAAAGAAUAGGUUCUUAGCUGGGGCUACACCGCAAGAAAGGUUUUCUUGGGCGGUAGGAAGGGAGUCAAACCAAGGAACAAUGUUCUUUAGUUUCAAGUGAAUGUCUAAGUGUUGUAAUUGGAAGAAUUGCUUGUAAAACAUUAUUUCAAUUAUAGUGAAGAAAAAUAUCCCAGAUCAGUCGGGAGGCUUGGAUGUAGUUUGCAAGUGGACACGCAAACGAACCAGGAUAAAAAAUCGUGUUGCAUGCUUUUUCUUUCCCUCUCUCUCUUCAUUGCUUUAAUCAAUUACUUUGUAUAGUUGUUUUACUUGCAAUAUUCUGUUUCUAUACUAUAUUGUUGUAACUCUGAUAUAUCUAUUAGCUCUGUAUAUUCGUUUAAAUCUCGGUUGAUUGUCGUGCAAGAAACCGAAUCUAUUUGUGUAAUCUGAGCUAUUUUAAUCGAUUAAAUUGAUUACGUUAAUCGAUUAUUUCUAUUCUGUUAAUCGAUUAAUCUGGGGUUAAUUCAGCAUUAAUUGUUGUUUUCGGAAAAGCGGAUACUCUGACCGCUACACCUAUUCAACCCCCCCUUCUAGGUGUAUUUUAGCCACUGAUACCUAACAAAAAUAUGAAAGUAAAUGUAAUUAGAUCAAUGCAAAUAGAUUUAGAAGUUUCUAAAAUUCUUUCAUCCAUUGAUCAAGAUACUACUUGUUAGGUAAAUAUUUAUCACAAUAUUAGGUUACCUCACAUGCUUUACCUCAUCUUUAUCAAGAUGUUUGAAGUUUUCCAUAUUUGAUGUAUUCUUUGGCCUUUCUUCAAUUUGUGAUUCUUGUCCUUUUCUUCCAUAGAAUAUCAAUUCCUGAAGUAUUUAUCCUCAUUUGUACCUAUAAAACAAUAAGCAUACCAUUCCUCUCCUCUUUUGGGGAUGGCUUAAUCGAGCAUUAAAUUCGCAUAAGCUUUGCAAAAAAAAAAACAUAGUUUUGGUUAAGUUUGCAUUGAUGUGAGAUUUAACCAGUUGUGUUUUAACAUGAUUAGAAAAUCCUUAAUGUUGUUUCAACAUUUACUUAUUAAUCAAAACAUGGUUAAAGGAUUCAUAUACUUAUUUAAUAGUAUCAUGUUUACAUUUGAGAGCAUGUAAAUGUGAGACAUAAAGCAUUAGGCCUCAAAAUGAUUUUUUGGGGGAUAUCAUGAUUCUUGAGUUUAUGGCCUUGCUAUGAUUUCAUUUUAGAAUAUAUCUAUGACACUUAAGGUAUGUAAUACUUGUAGUUAAGAAACGAUACCUUGUUUUACCUUUGUUGCACAAUUCUUCCUAUCUUCAAGCAUUUGUGAUGACAAGAUGCUCAUAGGUGUCAUAGUCUCCUUUCCUUUGGUGAAAAGUCAAAGAAGUUUGAUCUUCUCACCUUCUUAUGUGCCUAGAACACUUGCUGCCCAUAUGAAAUUUGGAGUCCAUAUGUGCUUAGGAAAACCUACAAAACACACUUAAUUGUUUUUCUUGGGUACCCAACUAAGCUUGGGUCCCUUGAUGUUAGUAGCUUGGGGAUUUUGUUUCUUAGUAAUCCAUAUACAAUUUCUAUUUGGAACAUCAUGCAUUCUAACAUUAUAGGCAUUCAAGGUAUGACCAUACAAUCCAUAAUAAAAGCAAGUAGGUGAUUCACGACGUGAAAUUUUCAGAACAUUUACUUGUUUCUUGUGAAAUGUGUUGGUUGCUUUCAUAUAUUCCAAAAUAGACUUAAUCCCAUCAUUUUUAUAUGUAGCAAGUAAUUUGUUUGAAUUGUAAUUACUAGAUGUGAAAUUAACAACUUUAUCAUUUAAGACAUUAUGUUAAUUUUUCAGGCAAAUGCAAUUUUCACAAAUAGGUGCCACAUUUAAGUUAGAAGUACAAUCACAUGAAGUUUUAGCAUAUUUAGCAUCUAAGGUUUCGUUUUCAAUUUUGAGCAUAUCAAUGACAUUUUGCAAUUUACAUAUUUUCUUUUCAUGAUCUAAAAUUAACCUUUUGCUAUUCUUGUACUUUUUAGCUAAAAUUUUAAGUUGUUCAUGCAUUUCAACAUAAGCAUCAUAUAGCAUGUUAUAUGUGAGAGAUGUAUCGGAAUUUGAACUAGAAUCGUAUGAGUAUACCUCACUAGGCUCAUCUUGCUCACUUACUUCACAAGAGUUCAAAUUUUGAGUCAUUAGACAAAUCUUGUGUGAUUCUUCAUCUUCCGAGAUGCUUGUUGACGAAUCGUUCUCUCCGUGUUCAUUCCAAACAAUGUAUGCCUUCUUAUCUUUGAUGUCCUGAGAGUCUUUCUUGUAGUCUUGUUCAAUCUUCUUGGGAGGUGUAGGGCAUGUGUACCUCAUGUGUCCUACUUCCUACUUUUAUGGCAAGAUUAAUUGUCUUUGGGAUUCUUUCUUAUCUUGAUCGAACUAUCUUCAUCUUCCUUGUGAAGCUUCUUGGUUCCUCCAUUCUUUAUUAAGUACUUUCUGAAUUUGUUGAUAAGGAGGGACAUGGAUGCAUCAUCCGUGACGGAAUCAGACUCACCAUUAUCAAAUAUCUCCUUUUGACUUCUAGCAUCUCAUCUUGUUGCUUUGAAGGAUGUUUCUUUGAUGUUCUCGUCUAUUUAUUCAUUGAGUGUCAAACGUCGUAAUUCUUGCUCAUGUUCUUGAAGUUUGUCAAAUAGAGUUGCGAGCUUCAUUUGUUCCAGGUCCUUUGACUCCAUAAUGGCAGUCACCUUGGGUUGCCAUUUCUUGUCCAAACAUCUCAAAACUUUAACAGUUAGUUCAUGUUUGGCAAAUGAUUUAUCUAAUGCAAUGAGAUGAUUAAAAUAGAUAAAUCAUAAAUAGAUAAAUCAAUCAUAAAUAGAUAAAUCAAUCUAGAUUGUAUACAAUGCAAUGAGGUCAUACUCAUGCAUCAAUGUAUACAAUCUAGAACGUUUGACCUCACUUAGUGCCUUCGUGGAUCACUUGUAAAGUGUCCCACAUUGCCUUGGCACUAUCGCAUUGAGAAACUCUAAAGAAAUCAUCGUAUGAGAGUGCGGAAGUUAGAAUGUUUUUUUGCUUUCAAAUCGAAUUGCAUUUUUCUCUUUUCCUCAUUGGUCAAGAGACUUCUAGGUUUCUCUUUCAUUUUUUCGUUCACUACGUGUAGUGGAAUGAAAGGUCCGUUUUCCACGGAAUCCUAAAUUUCUAUAUCGAUGGCCUCAAUAAAAAAUUUCAUUCGGACUUUCCAGUAGGCGUAUCCGUCGCCACUGAAGGGGUAGGUGGAACCCAUAUGAUUUCCCUUUAUGAUCACGCGUAGGCGGUUGAGCUAGCAUGUCGUACUAGCUCCGAUACCACUUGUUAGGUAUCAGUGGAUAGAACACACCUAGAAGGGGUGGGGUUGAAUAGGUGUCGCGGUAAUCAAUUACCGCUUUUCGCAUCGAAGCCCUAUUCUGGAAAAAGCCACAGUGAAUCGAUUAACGCUCUGCUUUAAUCGAUUAACACACAACAAAACAACAAGUUGCAUAAUGGCUUCUUGCAUAGCCACUCACUAAUGUUCAAGAACAGAUAAAGCAUAUAUUUUUAUACAUAAUUAAACUAGAUACAACAACCUAACAGUAUCCAAAAUAUCAGCUAAUAUCAUGCAAUAAUAAGACUUGAAAUGUAAAGAGAUUAGCGAUAGAAAAAGCCUGCAACAAGGAAUUUUAUCUUGUUUUGUUUGCAGGUCAACUUGCAAACUACAUCAAUGCCUCCGUUAUUGAUCUCAAGAGAUUUUCUGCACUAAUAUUGAAAAGAAUGUAUAGUUACAUGCAAACUUCCAAUACAACACUUAGACACUCCCUUCUUGAAUCCAAGAACCCACUUUCUUGGUUUAGAACCUUUCUUACGAUCUAGCCCCAGUCAAAAACUUGCUCUAAACUCAAGACCUCUAAGUCUUGGUGAAGACUCAUUGACUCUUAGGUUGUAAGACACCAAUAGACAAAUUCCCUUAUUACAAAAACAUAGUAAUAUUAUGCACAAUUUUGCCCAAAAUGUUACAAUUAAAACUCAGCUAUAAACCUUAUACAAAACUCACAAGAUAACAUGAAUAUGUAUGAGUUUAUUAAAAUGCAGAAACACAUAAUUUCUACCCUAAAAUUCUAUUAAAGAAAUGCAAGUAAUAGGCAAGAAAAGAUAGGAAUGUUUAACAUAUAAACCACGUGCAAUAAAUGACAAUUAAAGCCUAAGCAUGAUACUUUCUCUCACUAUCUCACAAUGCAUUUCACUCUGUCUAUAUAACACAAUUAAACACAAAAAAUAUGCAACUAAUGUUAGGUAUUAGUGGACAAAACACACCUAGAAGGAGGGGAGGUUGAAUAGGUGUUGCGGUUACCAUUUACCGCUUUUUGCACCGAAGCCCUAUUCUGGAAAAAGCUCCAGUUAAUCGAUUAACAGUCUAUCUUAAUUAAUCAAUUAACUCACAUAAAACAACAAGUUGUAAAGUGGCUUAUUGCUCAGCCACUCACCGGUAAUCAGAUACAGAUACAAAAAAUAUACUUGAACAUAAUUAAACUCAGUAUGGUAAUAUUACAGUAUCCAAAAUUAUCAGCUACAAUUAGGCAAUUAUUACAACUUUAAAUAAAAGAGAUUAAGGAUAGAAAGAGCCUGCAACAAGGAAUUUUAUCUUGGUCCGUUUGCAGGUCCACAUGCAAACUACAUCCAAGCCUCCCCUUCUAAUCUUAGAAGAUUUUCUUCACUAAUAUUGAAACGAAUGUAUUUUUACAUGCGCACUUCCAAUAUACAAACUUAGAUGCUCCCUUCUUGAUUCCAAGAACCUAAUUUCUCGGUUUGACUCACCUAAUGGCCUAAGAAUACCUUUCUUAAAAUCUAGCCCCAACCAAGAAACGUUCUAAACUCAAGUCCUCUAAGUCUUAGUGAAGACUCACUGAGUCUCUUUGGUGGUACGAAACCAAGAGAUGAUUUCCCUGAUUAGAACUCUAAAACAUUACAAAAAAUAGAGUAUUAUCAAGCAUAAUAUAGCUCAAAAUAUAACAAUUAAAUCUCAGCUAAAACCCUAUACAAGACUCACAAGUAAGCAUGAAUAUGUAUGAGUUAAUUGAUGUCCAAAAAUAGAGAAUUUCUAUCCUUAAAUUAUUCUAAAUAAAUGCAAGAAUCAUGUAAAAGAAGAUAGAAAAUGUUAACACAUUAAUCACAUGCAAUUAUAUCACAAUUAAGCCCUAAACAUGAUAUUAUCUCUCACUAUCUCGCUAUGCAUUUCUCCCUGCCUAAAAUGACACAAAUGAGCACGAAAAAUAUGCAACUUAACAAUUCUAAAAUGAAUGAUAUGAUGUGUUGAAAACGAUUGAGAACAACUCAAUUUAGUUUUUCAGUUAUCUGUUAAAACUGAUUUCACGUUAAUCGAUUAACUCAUUACUUAAUCGAUUAACUAGCAUAUUUUUAAGUUAAAUGAUAAAAUGGUAAACUACCUAUAUGUUAUUGUUAUCAUCUAUACAUGUGUUACAAGUAUAUUAUGCCUAUGAUGUACAAAUAACAUGUAUGAUUUAUGCAUGAACAUAUAAUAAUCUAGAUGGAAUGUCUCAUGUAAAUGAUUUGAUUAUUUUUAAGACUUGUGAGAAUUGCACCUAGGUUUACCUAACCUAGACUCAAUAUCUAAGACACAUAUCUAUGACUCUUGUAAGAUAUGAGAUCCUUGAGUCCAUGGCAUGUUCAUUUGUUGAGUCAUCUUCAAGCUUUCCAUGAAUCCUUGUCUUCGUCAAAACAUAGGCAAUUUAAUAGUGCAACACUUUGACACUUGCACUUUCAACUAACAAUUCUAAAAAUGAAUGAUAUGAUGUAUGGUACAUGAUAUAAAAACACAAUUUUUAUAGAAAACCUUUUUGAGACCCAGUUAAUCGAUUAAGUACCCAUUUAAUCAAUUAACGGGUUGUUGGGAAUAAUUGUUUUCAGGUUUUCAGUUAUCUGUUAAAACUGUAAUAACGUUAAUCGAUUAAUUCAUCCCUUAAUCGAUUAACUAGCACAUUUUUCAGCUAAAUGAUUAAAUGGCAAACAACCUAUAUGUUAUGCUUAUCAACUAUACAUGUUUUACCAAUAUAUUAUGCCUAAGAUGCACAAGUGACAUGUAUGAUUAAUGCAUGAACACAUAAUGAUCUAGAUGGAAUGUCUCAUGUAAAUGAAAUGAUUAUUUUUAAGGCUUGUUAGAAUUGCAUCUAGGUUUACCUAACCUAGACUCAAUAUCUAAAGCACACAUCUUAGACUUCAAAAAAUAACUCUAUUAAAGAACCUAGUCUAGAUAUGAAACCCUUGAGUCCACGGCAUGUUGAUUUUUUGUUUCAUCUUCAAGCUUUCACUAAAUCCUUGUCUUCAUCAAAACAUAAGCAAUCCCAUAGUGCUAUACUUGACACUUUGCACUUUCAAGAAGAACUGGUGAAGCAGGAUGAACUAGAAGCUGGAUUAUGGUGCCUAACUGUGCGCUAACCUAGACCCCACAAAGGGUGUUGGUCGAUUAAGACAAUAAGACGGUGGUCAUGGAAGUCGAAAUCCGCUAAGGAAUGUGUAAGAACUCACCUGCCGAAUCAACUAGCCCCGAAAAUGGAUGGCGCUAAAGCGCACGACCUAUACCCGACCAUCGGGAGAAGGGUCAGACUCUGAUGAGUAGGACGGUGCAAGAGUCGCUACAAAACCUAGGGCAUGAGUUCGAGUGGAGCGAUCGUCAGUGCAGAUCUUGGUGGUAGUAGCAAAUAUUCAAAUGAGAACUUUGACGGUUGAAGCGGGGAGAGGUUCUAUGUGAACGACACUUGCACAUGGGUUAGUCGAUCCUAAGGGACGGGGGAAGCCCGUCUGAUAGCGCUCUAAGCAUGCACUCCGAAAGGGAAUCAGGUUAAAAUUCCUGAACCAUGACGUGGAGGCUGAUGACAAUGUUAGGGAGUCCGGAGACGUCGGCAGGGGACCCGAAAAGAGUUAUCUUUUCUAUUUAACAUCCUUCCCACCCUGGGAACGGCUCAGCUGGAGGUAGGUUCCAGUGGCUGGAAGAGCACCGCACGUCGCAUGGUGUUCCGUGCGCCCCUGGUGCCCCUUGAAAAUUCGGAGGAUGAUGUGCCUCCCAUGCCCGGUCGUACUCAUAACUGCUUCAGGUCUCCAAAGGUGAACAACCUUUGGUCGAUAGAACAAUGUAGGCAAGAGAAGUUGGCAAAACGGAUCCAUAACCUCUAUCAAGGUUCUGGUUUGGUGACUCACUAAUGGGUUGGGCGUGCCGAGGCUUCUAGUGUGACCUUUUCUGCAUGGAAGGAUGUGGUGUUAGGUGAAUCCUAUAGGGGCAUAGCCGCAACAUGAAUGGGCACAUGUUCAAUCAUCCGGAAGUGUGUUGUGGGUGGCGGGCGUGCCGAGGCUUCUAGUGUGACCUUUUCUACAUGGAAGGAUGUGGUGUUAGGUGAAUCCUAUAGGGGCAUAGCCGCAACAUGAAUGGGCACAUGUUCAAUCAUCCGGAAGUGUGUUGCGGGCUGGUUUGCACGGUUGAAGUCAAGGUGCAUUCGUCUGUGAUGCUAGCAACAAUGUCUCUCCGGAAGGCUAGUCCCUUAGAAAUGUGUUGGUUGUUGAGGUGUUGGAUUGGUCCCACAGUGCUGAGUUGGUAGUUAUGGCAUCCCACAAACAUUUUGAGCUUCUUGUGUGACCAAUCUUGCAUGGAAGGAUGUGGUGCUGGGUGAAAUCAAUGUGCGAUGGUAGUGUGUUUACAGAUGGUUUUCAUGGUUGAAGUCAAGGUGUGGUGGUGUAAGACA
rnacentral:lncRNA from 1 species